UGGGGAAUAUUGGACAAUGGGCGAAAGCCUGAUCCAGCCAUGCCGCGUGUGUGAAGAAGGUCUUCGGACUGUAAAGCACUUUAAGUUGGGAGGAAGGGCAUUAACCUAAUACGUUAGUGUUUUGACGUUACCGACAGAAUAAGCACCGGCUAACUCUGUGCCAGCAGCCGCGGUAAUACAGAGGGGGCAAGCGUUAAUCGGAAUUACUGGGCGUAAAGCGCGCGUAGGUGGUUUGUUAAGUUGGAUGUGAAAUCCCCGGGCUCAACCUGGGAACUGCAUUCAAAACUGACUGACUAGAGUAUGGUAGAGGGUGGUGGAAUUUCCUGUGUAGCGGUGAAAUGCGUAGAUAUAGGAAGGAACACCAGUGGCGAAGGCGACCACCUGGACUAAUACUGACACUGAGGUGCGAAAGCGUGGGGAGCAAACA
rnacentral:rRNA from 1 species